rnacentral:rRNA from 1 species
CACGUAGGGCGCAGGCGUUGUCCGGAAUUAUUGGGCGUAAAGAGCUCGUAGGCGGUCUGUUGCGUCUGCUGUGAAAACCCGGGGCUUAACCCCUGGCUUGCAGUGGAUACGGACAGACUAGAGGUAGGUCGGGGAGAAUGGAAUUCCGGUGUAGCGGUGAAAUGCGCAGAUAUCGGGAGGAACACCGGUGGCGAAGGCGGUUCUCUGGGCCUUACCUGACGCUGAGGAGCGAAAGCGUGGGGAGCGAACAGG